UUCAGAUUUUUUUGUACUGAUGAAAGAGUAAACUUAGCUUAAGGUCGACUGAUAAAAAAAAUACUUUCUUGUUCUAAAAACGUGUUUAGUAUAAACUCACUUAUUAUCUUCAAAUCUUUAGGAAUAUAAUUAUUCUUAUAGUUUAUUUGCUUUCAGCGACAAUCGAAUACGAAAUUCUACCUUCAAGUAAAGGUAGGAAGCAGCUAAUACUAGUUCAAGGGUACUCAUUUUCCAUCCAAGGUGGGAACCAGAACUCCUACUAUUGUUCCAGGAAGAGGAUCGCUGGUUGCAAAGCUCGAGUUCGUCUCCAGGAUGCCUUCAUCACGAAGUCCUAUCUUCACCAUAAUCACCCCCCACCCUCAUUAGAGUUCGAUAGAAAUGGUUCGCUUGUUAGAGUAAAGUCCACUUAUAUGUAAUAUCGUUUUUUAAUUCAUUUUUUAUAACAAGUUUUACAUUUUCCUUUUUAUCCAAAUUGUGACAUUUUGAGAUAAAAUUCUGACCUCGUUCAUAUCGGAGAAGAUAAAGUAAGCAGAAAUGUGCAGAAAGUUAUAAUACAAUAUUAAAAUGCGUUUUAAUUUAAUGGAUGGGUUAACAUUUUUUUCAUGAAUGUUCUAAAAAUUUGCAUCAUAUUAAUAUGGGAAUGUCUGUUGCAGAUUACAAUUACACUAUAUUACCGAUGUGCGGUAAUAAAUCGGCGAUUAUGUUCGAGAACUACACGUACUCAUACCAUGUGAGGGGUGGACGGACGCUGCAAUGUUCAAAGAAAUUGAGCAUGCAGUGUGGGGCUUAUCUUAAAGUUGACAAAAAUAAUAGAAUUAUUUACGCCAACACCAACCACACACACGAACCGCCGGUGUAUAGAUUGUCCAGCAAAGGCUUUUAUGUGAAAAUCGCCUAAACAUAAUUUUGUCCAUAAUACAAUGGACAUUUGAGAUUAUAUUUUUUUGCGAACCUAAACCUGAUUUCGUUUUGUCACUGUUCUUAUUUGGUACCCUUAGAUUAGGAUAUGAAUGAAGGAUAUUAAUAUCUAGUUUUGCUAUAUUUGUCGUUUAAGAGGAUAACUUAAAAAUUGUAAUCGCUUUAAAGUUUUGAAGACUAUAGAUUUUAUUCUGUUGAUUAAAUACGUCAUGAUAAUUAAUGAUUUUAAAACAGUUGACUUUAGUUCUAUUCAAAAUAUAAUGAUAGCUUUUUAUUGCAGUAUUACAAUUCAGAUUUCUUGAAACCGCUCGUGGCGGGCGUGUUCUGCACCUACGAGGUCACACUUUCUGUAAAAUGAACAGAUUUUCUAACUUCUGGUAUUGCUCAAAGAGAGUGAGCACCAAGUGUCGCGCCAAGGACGAAGCGGUUACAAGAGCGGCGUAUUCGGUUUGGUACAAGAUAUAAAACGACAUGUGAAAUCUGACAGUGAUUCGGAGCCAAGUAACAUAAGCUACGGCGUGGUCCCACAGUAUAGGAAAAGGCAAGCAAUUAACCGGAAACAGUAUCCAGAAGUUAUAGCAACUAUAAAGAAGAGGAAGAGGAAUCCGAUGUGUCACGUUAUUCCGUCAGCGUUUGUCACGACGACCUUGGGAGAUGUCCUUCGACCACGCGAGGAGUCGUCGUUGCUCAUGGCUCGAUCAGAGAGCGCGGAACUAAUUCCCCCUGCUUACAACACCCUGGAUUUAGGAGAUCUGAAAUUCGAGGUUAUUAGAGUGUCAAAGGUGAAGCGGCCAUUAUUGCUGGUCCAAAAUUAUACCUUCGCUCAGACAACCAGCGAUUUCCGAUACUGGAAUUGCAGUCGGAAAUCACGAAAAUGCGGCGCAAGACUGCGUUUCGACAACCACGGCCGUUUGGUUUUUUCAUCCUUAGACCACAACCACGUCGCCCCGUUGUAUUACAAGCAACCGAACGGUUUGCAUGUCAGAGUGCGAUAGAUGCGAAAUAUUUCGUGCAUCGAGAAGUUACUGGCAAUAAUAUUAAUGUAACCUAAAUUGGAAUUUCGUUGAAGGAUUGGUUUUUUGUGGCAAUUUAAAGGCUGUUCUUUUUUUUCAGUUUCAAACUUGCAAGUUGUGUAGCUGGUGUUCAUGAAAAUUCUUUAUCAAUCGCUUUAAAUUUUGACGUAUGUUUUAAAUUUUAAGAUCUCGAUCAUUAAUUACAUUUAAAAGAAAAUAUAUCAUUAGCCUUAUCACAAUAGUGUGUAAUUUAUUAUAGACUAUUAUAAUACUUUUGAAUUUAUAAUAAUCAGUUAGAUUUUUCACGUAGAAUUUUCUCGCAAUUCUUGUGUUUGUAUGGCUUAUAAUAUCCCAUAAAUAUUUUUAUUUCAUCAUUGACGUUAUCAUCAUGUGUACUAGUGAUUUAUUUUAGGUCGGUUAUCAUUUUAUAGGUACGGUUUAAGAAUAUUUCUGUUAGAAACUAUUGUAUUAUAAGAGUCAUGAUUAAUAGUAUUGUUACAAUAAAAAAUCACUCAUUAUAUCUGUCGUUAGAACUAAAUUAUGUUUAAUUAAUUUAAUUUGUGUGAUAGGAUUUGGAAUAGAUGUGAUGUUAAGCCAAAUAAACAAUCAUGAAUGGAACAUAGUUUUAAUGUCCCACAACACGUUCAGUGUCUGAUGUUGGUGUCAUGAGAUUAGGUGCUAUUUUUUCUUCGACAGAUAUGAAGUAUGAAUUCAUUGCUUCGACACGCGGCGGUCAACUGCUCAUGAUAAACGAUUACACCUUCUCCAGAAUAAACAAGACCUGCUACGUGUGGUGCUGUUCGGCUAAAUCCAGUCAAUGUAGAGCCCGGGUUCGGUUGAGUGCUGACAAUGUUAUAACAGAUUUCAUCCUAGAUCAUAACCAUCCACCACCAAAAUAUUACAAGACCAAUAAUGGUACCUACAUCAAGUUUUAAUAAGUCGUGAACUUAUUAAGUGGACAUUAAUUUUAGUUAAAAAAAAUGCUUGUGAAUUUAAUAUAUCUUUAUAAGUUUCUAUGACGAGAUUCAUAGCGUUUAUAUUUUUUUUUGCAAACUUAAAUGUUAUUCUAUUCAUAUGACACAUAUUACUUGUCACCAAUAAAAGUAUUUACUAUGUUUAACCAAAGUCCUAGUACCGGUAUGAUAAAUAAAUUAAUGUGUGUUCA